UUAAUUCUAUGUACUGAGUAUAACGUUAUCCGCGCACGUAGGUUAAGGAGAAAUCCGUCUUUUCACCUUUUACAGCUGUUUUAUUCAAAAUGCGAUUAAUAUUUGAAAUGAGUUUUUAUACUAUUAGCUUCUUAAAACACAUAUAUUGUCUUAUUAAUAAAAUUUAUUUAUGUGCCAACUUAUGUUUCAAUGUGCUAAUCUCAUGUUACAUGUGCCAUUUCCUGAAUAAACAAACAAACAAAAACAAACUUAAAAAAAACCCAAACAAUUCGGAAUUUCGUAUAUCCGUUUCGAUUUGGUUCUACAUUUAGCGACCUAAUUCUGCUUCCCGUAGUGACAGAAAAAUGGGUUUCGGCAAUUGGUGGUGUCUUAUUGAAAGAAAACUAAAGAAUUAAACAGUAUGGGAUCAUAAAUAGAGAAGCUUACAGGAGAUGGGGACUUUCAAAUGAAGGAGAGUAAGGAAAGUGAAUGGGGUAUUCCAAGAAGUGAAGAAUUAAUUGUCAUGUGUUUGGAAUUCAAGAUAUUGUACAACUAUUCCCACAAGAAGAAGCAUUUCCCUACAGACUACCGUGUGGCAAUAUAAAUCCAAAGGACAAACGAGGCCUAGUUAAAAGCCACACUCCUGCAAAUUUAGUCUAUAUUGUUUGCAUACAAAAGGACUCAACCAAUAUACAUACUAAAGGAAAAACUCUGCUUUAAAAAUUAGACUUAGCUGUCAUAUCCAAUGCUCCUAUUACUCAGUUAUAGUAUAUUUAAUGUACUGAAUAGGUUAAUUUGAAUAAAUUCACAAUUGUUUAAUAAAAAUUUUGUUUGUUUAUUUUUUAUCCUCACUCCAUUGUAGGUUUUUGAACUUUGGAUGUGACGUUAAACAUAGAAUUAACUUUGAACAGCCUUAAGUAGUGUAACUCAUUGAAAAAAUGUUUGUGUCCCAUGGGUAUACUUAAUGCUAAAAAUGUUUUUGUCCCAUGGUUUUCUGUGAUGAAAAAACUCAUUGUCCCAUGCCUGUUUGUACCGGUCCCAUCAUUGUGAUAAAUUUUGCCUGGUCCCU